rnacentral:rRNA from 1 species
AUACGGAGGAUGCGAGCGUUAUCCGGAUUCAUUGGGUUUAAAGGGAGCGUAGGUGGGAUAUUAAGUCAGCUGUGAAAGUUUGGGGCUCAACCUUAAAAUUGCAGUUGAUACUGGUUUCCUUGAGUACGGUACAGGUGGGCGGAAUUCGUGGUGUAGCGGUGAAAUGCUUAGAUAUCACGAAGAACUCCGAUCGCGAAGGCAGCUCACCGGGCCGGAACUGACACUGAUGCUCGAAAGUGCGGGUAUCAAACAGGAUUAGAUACCCAGGUAGUCCGCACAGUAAACGAUGAAUACUCGCUGUUUGCGAUACACGGUAAGCGGCCAAGCGAAAGCGUUAAGUAUUUCACCUGGGGAGUACGCCGGCAACGGUGAAACUUAAAGGAAUUGGCGGGG